CCUACGUGAGGCAGCAGUGAGGAAUAUUGGUCAAUGGACGCAAGUCUGAACCAGCCAUGCCGCGUGCAGGAAGACGGCUCUAUGAGUUGUAAACUGCUUUUGUACGAGGGUAAACGCCAAUAUGCGUACCUCUCUGCAAGUAUCUUACGAAUAAGGAUCGGCUAACUCCGUGCCAGCAGCCGCGGUAAUACGGAGGAUUCAAGCGUUAUCCGGAUUUAUUGGGUUUAAAGGGUGCGUAGGCGGUGGGUUAAGUUAGUGGUGAAAUCCCGAGGCUCAACUUCGGAAUUGCCUCUGAUAGUGUUAGGCUAGAGUGUAGUUGCGGUAGGCGGAAUGUAUGGUGUAGCGGUGAAAUGCUUAGAGAUCAUACAGAACACCGAUGGCGAAGGCAGCUUACCAAGCUGCUUCUGACGUUGAGGCACGAAAGCGUGGGGAGCAAACAGGAUUAGAUACCCUAGUAGUC
rnacentral:rRNA from 1 species